rnacentral:rRNA from 1 species
AGCAGCCGCGGUAAUUCCAGCUCCAAUAGCGUAUAUUAAAGUUGUUGCAGUUAAAAAGCUCGUAGUUGAAUUUCGGGGUCAGUAGGUUGGUCAUGCCACUGGUAUGUACUGGCCUCACUGAUUCCUCCUUCCUGAUGAGCCGUAAUGCCAUUAAUUUGGUGUUGCGAGGAAUCUGGACUGUUACUUUGAAAAAAUUAGAGUGUUUAAAGCAGGCUAACGCUUGAAUACAUUAGCAUGGAAUAAUGAAAUAGGACGUUCGAUCUUAUUUUGUUGGUUUCUAAGAUUGACGUAAUGAUUAAUAGGGAUAGUUGGGGGCAUUAGUAUUCAAUUGUCAGAGGUGAAAUUCUUGGAUUUAUUGAAGACUAACUACUGCGAAAGCAUUUGCCAAGGAUGUUUUCAUUAAUCAAGAACGAAAGUUAGGGGAUCGAAGACGAUCAGAUACCGUCGUAGUCUUAACCAUAAACUAUGCCAACUAGGGAUCGGAUGAUGUUAAUUUUUAAUGACUCGUUCGGCG